AGGGCAGCCAAAGCCCCCCAGAGGAUUAUAGGACUAACAUGAGUGAUUACUGAUAACCAAAGGAUAGCAGGGAUAAUAGAAAUCCAGAUGACUGCAUACGACUUAUUUUCACAGCAUAUAGCACAUCUUCCAAGAUGGAGGGCCCCAGGUCCAGGUGUAGAGAGAGCAGGGAUCCGGCGUGGGAGAGGUACGGCUGCUCUUCCAUCGUGUCCUCCAGGCAAGAUUCCCGGAGCAAGCAGCGGUCCUCACUGGGGAGCCCAGGAGGGCUGUCCGGAGAUGGCUCGGUGAAGCGAGCUCGCGCUCAUCCCCGAGUCGUGUUCAGGCAGGAGUUCCGACGGCCCGAAGGCAAAAUGGCACACGUUCCACAGAGGCAGGAUUCCCAUCCUGAUUCCAGCGUCUAAAAUUGUCCUAAGCAGUUUCCAUCGAGAUGACUCGGAUGUGAAAGCACAGUCUGAAGCCAUCGGUCUCUGUCAGGUCUGUGCUUUAAACAACGCCGGGUAUGUGGUCCAGACAAUAUGGCAAAAGAGACUUUUCAGAAGCCUUUAGAUUACUUGAUGUUGUAAAUUACCUGAAUAAAAGUACUUACUAUCUGGAAAAGAACACAACAUAAUUAGCCACACAGGGGGCGUAACUCCAGUGUGCAUCAAGGACCAGUACAAGGUCACCAACUUAUUUGUAGGAAUGUGAUGAUAUAUUUAGUUACUAAUGGUAGUUUUGAGCCGGCGGCUGUCUUAGACACCAUGAAGCACCAGCGGGGGGUCCUAAGGGAUGACAGGCGCCCGUCGCCGCUACAUAGUGCAUGACACACGCCUCCAGCGGAGCCAGCACCAAAGAACAGCCCGUUCCGACUCUCUCCCACUUGGACAGGAAGGCGUUAGGAACGCCACAGCCUGCCUGGCAUGGGAAACGUGGGAAGGGCAGGAAACAGGAUGGCGCAACGUGCCGGGAUCAGCGAAGUCGCAUGCUAAAUCCAUCACCUGGAGGAACCUCACGCAAACAUGGAGUAUAUGUCAAAUUCAUACUCAGGUAGUGGUGGGCAGGAGUCGAUUACACAACCUGCCAGUGUGAGGCGACAUCUGAACUUAAUUAAAUAAAGUAAAAGUCUCUUUAUAAACACACACCCUACGUGUAAUGUUUUGUUUUCAUCUGGAGUGGGCGUGAAUUCCUUCUAGUCUUACAAACAGAGCAUUUUAUUCUGAAUGAUUACCCAUUAUAAACCGGCGAACAUAAACUGAUAUAAACCUACACAGCAUUAGUGGACACCUAGAGAAAAUACGUGAUUUGAAUCAUGCGUGUUUAAAAAUAACACAACUGAAAGCUACGGCAAAAUCACACAAAAUACUUUAAACCAAGCAACCAUCAAGGCUACAUGAACGAGCAACGAUUUUUUUCCCCAAUAAGUGUCGAUUCGCGAAAUACAGGUAUAACGAGUAUUACAUGGUUUCAUAUUAGCAGAGACGUGUCAUUACAGGAGCUCUACAACUGAUAUCAUCUGAAUGACAUGUUGCUGCAUCGCAACUUAAUGCCGUGCGCGUCUUCAUUGGCAAGUGGGCGGGGUGGGCACAAAAGCGGGGCUGCUCACAGUUAAUUGUCCCACGCUUGGGGGGGGGGGGUCAUCUUUUACAUAAGUCCAAGCACAGACUGUACGCUCUCAGCACGUUUUUUUCCCGGAUUAAAACGCGAAUUCUCACAAUGAACAGUGUUUGGGGUCUUAAGAGGAUCAUUGUUUGAAGUACACAUACUUUAGCCUGCAAGCGAGCGCUUUCUGAACAAUGAUCUUACUGUAGCUAUUGAAACUACACUGUCAAGCUCCGUUAAAGUGUAACGCGGCCGUCUGUAUAGUUCAGGCUGCCCCGCAAUUCAAAUGUGUUCUGGGAAAUUCCUUCAGUGAAUAUGCAUAAGGUCUCAAAAGUAUAUAAUACCGGCCAUGUACGCUGUUACUAUAAUGACAUUUAAGUCGUACGUAGAGGUCUCAGUAUUACUUAUUAUCAUACUGCUAUUGUAAUGCAUUAUUCAAUAAGUUGGUGCAAUAGAAUUUAAAACAGUCUAAUUAACAUUUCAGCUGCAACAUGUUCAUAUAUCGGUUUUGCACCUAUUUCCAACCAGCUAAAAUAUAGAUAACUAAGAUACGGUUAGGAAAUAGCUUAACGUCACAACGCAGGUCAUUGGUAAGAUGCAUUUACUGUAAUCGGAAAAGAAGUAAAACUAUCAUUAAUACGUUCGUGUUAGUUGUAACACGGACUAGGUAGUUCUACGAUCUAACGCCCAGCGACAUCAACUUCAUUUACCAGAAUCCAGAGCUGAUAAUAUGGUUGGUAUGAGUAAAAGAUGCUUAAAUGCACGCCCAUAAUGUCAACUCGUUAAAAUUUUAUUAUAAAUUUCCUCGAUGUCUUGUAACGUUGCUGCAGGUUAGAGUUCAACCGAAACAUGAACAUCUUAAUAAAUGAAAAAUCAUUAUCCUGUAUUUUCUCACAAUUAUUAAAGCCGUGCAUAUACCGAUAUAGUACGAUCUCUGUGAUAUUUUUAUUCCAAAUUAUUUUCAUUUCCAGGACAGUGUUGCAUUUUUUCAUACCUGGUAAAAAAUAAUAUAACACAAUCCUCAAUAUAAGAUCCCGAAAGAAUCACGGAUUACUGAUAGAUACGCCCCAAAACUGCCAGUUCAGGGGAAAAUAAUUCACCCCCUUCCGCAUCCUCCUCUCCCCUUCAUUCACUUACUGCAGGUAAGUUAGAUAUACGGACGGGGGA